rnacentral:lncRNA from 1 species
AUUAUUAUAUAUAUAUAUAUUCACUUAUUUAUUUAACCUCACUACUCUAUCUGAAAGGUGAAAGGAUUCACAAAUACAUCUACCAGCAUCAGGUUACUAAACAGAGGAACUUACGCUGCAAUAGUUUGUCAUGGACUUGAGCAAAAUCUCUUGUCAAGCCCGUGCAGCACUCAUCUUCCUUUGCAAAGUGUGCAAGCUUUCCUCUCCGCUUGCUAGCGCGAACCUACUCGUUCUAUGACUAAGUACAAGACGGAGUUUGGAGGAAUGUAGUAUUUUAAAUAUUUUAUUACUUGAAAAUGAGAGAGUACAACUGAGUUCUCUUGAGGGGGUGGAGGCCAUAAGUAUAUAUAGGCUACUUGUCAACCUAGAGAGCAAAUAAAAAGGCGCCAAGUGGCGAAAAGCUACAAGUCAAAAUGGGAGGUUACGAUCUCCCAACAGCCUACGUUUACUACAUCUUCUAGAAACCCUAAGGGACACUUGACUCGUCGGCUUUCACAUUUGUAGUCUCGAGAUCUGUAAAUCGUUCUAGAAGAUUUUGGCAAAACCUCUGGCAGCAAUAUUCUUUGGAGCUUGAGUGAUUGCAAAGGAGCAAAUGGGUGGAAAAUUCUGAGUCCUUGACAAGUUGCAGCUGCAUAAAACCAAACAAGCUUGGUGUAGUUACAACUUCGCUGUAAUUACAACUGUUGCAUUUUCAACUGCACGCAUUUCCAAGUGCAUUGCAUUUACAAUUACAUCCAACCAAACAACCAUACGUGUACUUUGGUUGGUUUGUAUUGAUUUAGAUUUAAGGUCUUUUAGUUCCAAGUUCUUUGGAAAUGAGGAUAAAUCCUUCAAUCUUAGGGAUAUUAGAGUUGUUUCAUCUAGCUUCCACUUUAGCUUUCAGCCUCAUCGCCUCUAAUAAAGUAUUUGACUAUUUAAAUAGUUUGGAGCUUCUACUAUGUUGGAGAGAACAAAUCUCAUUUCAAAGCCCAAAAGCGAAAACUCCAAUUAGGAGCUUGUGCAUUUGUUUCAAACAAAAUUGUUAGAAGAUAUUCGAGGAAGAAGCUGUAAGUGCCUUUUUGAAUAACACUACUCAGAUAGUAUUUCCCUAAAACACUAUACCCUCGCCGGGCCAGAAAGGCCUCGGUUAAUGUUUGAAGUUUCUUAGUUCGAGUAAAUUCAAUUAUACCCAUGUAUUCAAAGUGUUGGGAGUCAUUUAAAUUGGAAAGUGAAUAUAAACUGUGACCCCAAUACCCCUUUCUCUUUCUCAUAAGACAGCCAUAUGCCAUAUACCUUACCUCUUCCUUCUCACUCUCUUCUUCAGUUCCUCUUUUUCUCUCGUUUCUAUCCUUUUUGUAUCUUCUGUUAGAGUUUUAUAGUCCACUAUUCCUGCUGCCUUGUUUGUUGGACCUAACUGCCCAGCCACGUACACACAGUGUACUUGUUCACCAGCUUCUGAAGCAGGCCACAUCAAGCUCUGCAGCCCAGGCUGAAGAACUGACCUUGCACCAUACCAUGGAAGAGACACUCCACAUUCAUGACUUUUCAAUUCCACACUGCUGUAUAAACUUUGAUGAUUUAUUAUCUCAUACUUCCAAAUCCGCAGCUGUAUGAAAAUUUAUCUCUUUUCUUUUAUUUUUCUUUUUGCCUUUUUGCCUUGAAGUCUUUCUUUUUCUCUCUCUUUUUUAAAUUUCCAUUUAAUUACCUCAAAUUCUUUUAUUUUUAUCCUCUCAAUGUACUGACAUGUCCUAAGCCAUAACCCGCUUCCCAUUCUAAUUAUCUUCAUUUUUUGUUUAACCGUUUCUUCGAUUUAUAGUCAGAACAUUGUUCCUUCUUAAUCACUAAACACCACUUUCACUCCAAUGCCAGUGAGCCAUAUGCUGCACAUUUGGCUGCUUGGCAUCAUGGAAGUAGGUUAUGUUAUCAUGUUAUCCUUAAUUUGACCCAAUGGCUUAAAAGCCGAAUAGUCUUUUGGUUUAAUACUCAAUCUGUUUUGUACUGCACAAUUACUAUUAGUUUGCUAAAUAUAUUAUUUUCUUGCUUUAGACAUUUAAAAAUGAUAAUACUUAAUCAAAACCAGCAAGACACAACUCUUUGUUUGUCUGCCUUAUCUGGGAGGUGUAAUUUACAUUGUAAUUGUACACUAUGGAUCUAGCGGUAGUGAUGCUUAAUUUUUAGUCAUUUUUUAUGUGGAAAAUAAAUAAUACCUUAAAACAGAUAGGUUUUUGUCCUGUUUUAUCACUUAAAAAAAGGGAAAAAUCUAUCACCAGCAUAGCCGAGUGUGGUUGCCUCUUGCUUUGGAAUAUCUUAACUAUUCAUGAUACUUAUUGGUUAAGUAGGCUAUACACCCUCUGCAAAGGAGGUUAUACAUGCUUUACGACGUUUAACUAUCUUCUUAUCUGUCAUUAUUUGAUCAAAUUGUCCUGCCUGCUCUAUUUUGCUAAGAUAACAACAAUUUGAUGAAAUUAUUAGGUGGCGUCUAGUCUUUAAGAAAAUCCACAGUAGUUUGGUUUUGUGGUUUAGUGAUUUGGAUACAUACUAUUAGGCUUCUUAAAAUUAAUCCAGUUAAGAAGACUAAAAUGUUUAUUACCUUCUGUCAACAGGCACUGCAGACACCAUUCAGAGGCUAUCUUGGUGAUAUGUUCGCUCUGGUGAGUCACAGGUUCUUACUGUUGCAUUUGGUUUACAUUCACUUGCCGUGCAUCAUGCAAGCAUACAAGAUAGCAGGAGAAACCCUCGUCUUUGUAUCUGUAAAACUGAAAAACGGUGUUUCCGAACUACUUUAUAUUAUUUUUGCCCCAUCUAUUUUGUGUUGUUUAUGGUAGGUAUGAUAGUUUGACCUUGUAUGUUCUUCUAGUGAAAUUUGGUACUCAUUUAUGUGAAGGCUUUCUGCAUACUGGUCUCUAAUUUUUUUUUGAUGUUGUAUUUGUACCUGGAUAUUUUUUUCACAUGAUAGUCUCUCAUGUUGUCCUCCUUGAUGCAUAUUCCUUUUGUUAAUUUUAUCCCUAAUCAGUUUAAGAGACUUGUGGACGACAAAGUCCAUUUUCUCUUAUAGUACAGAAAAACCAAAUUUUCUUUCUUCCAUUUUCAGUUCCAUACCCUCCCUUGCACGGCUGCACUAUUUUGUACUCCUUUCUCUGUCUAAAAUGAUUUAUAUAUUUAGUUAUUUACACUGUUGGCAGUAGUUGCCAAUCUAAGAGGAACUAAGUAGUCCUAGAUUGCUAGUCAAUGAUCUAAAUAUUGGUAUAUAUUAUGCUGGCUGGCAGUUGACCCAUUGCAUUUGCAAAUGCUGUAUGUAGAUGCAUAUGUGGUUCAGAUAUUAAAUUAAUAGGAAAUGUAUAUUUAAAAAAUUUUUAAAAAUAGUUCUCUCAGAGACAUGCUUUGGUUUAGCAAGCAUAUAUUGUAAAAAAUUAGCAUAUUUUUCCUAACAGUAAGGCUAUUUGUCACUCCACAAUAAUCAUCUCACUUAUUAGCUAUCAGAAAUCUCUUAUAUUUAAACGUACCAAACUCUUUUUACGUAAGCUAGAUUCACAAAACUCCCCCUCCCUCCAUCUCUCUCUCUCUCUUCUCUCCUUUUGAAGCUUAUCGUUUAUCUAGUAUGGUGAUAGGUCCCCCGGUGUAAUGCACCACCUAUCAUAUGGUGGACGGUGCUCUGAACUGCAUAUGCUGCCAUAUAUACUGUUUUCAGAACAUUGUUGCGAGUUUGAAGGUAUUAGUUAUCUUCUUUCUCUUAAUGUCUCUAUUAAACCAUGUACUUUGUUCGCAUUCUCUUGCUGUCCUUUUCGUGAGAAGUCUUUAAAGGGUGAGGAUUGUGAAGCAAGGACAGUAGAGGUAAGAUAUAAGUUAAAUAAUAAUAUGUGCUCGAUGCAGCCUCAAAAUCUGAAUUUUGAUACGUAUGGAUUUAAAUUUUUAUCCAGGUUGAAUCUGGACUCACUCCAUUUUUGCAUACCUUAAUCUAGAUAAGAACUUAAUCCAAAUGAGAAUAUGGGUUGAGCACUCUAUUUGAAUACAUAUCCAUUUACGGAAUAAUUCAAACUAUAUUUUGGAUCCUUAAUAAUGUCUAUAUUUCCAUAUUUCUUGUGCAGAUCUCUAAUUUGUUUGUUCUAUAUCUUUCCAUGAUUCUGCAUAGAGUUAUAUUUAUACCUUUAGAACAAAUAUGGAUAUAUUUGACACCCACUUCCUGUUUUCAGCAUUGAAAUCCAUUCAACAUCCCUGUCCAUGUCCAUGUCCAUGCGAUGUGCUGUUUCUUUGUUUGUUGUGGUUUCUCUACUCAUCCUAUUUCUUAUCAUAUUUUUUAUCUGUUCUGGUGUUCGGUCUCAUGCGCAAGACUGAGGUGGAAGCUGUCAUCUAGUUACAAUUUUCUCUUUUUUUUCGGCUGGUCAUGAUUUGGGGUUUGUUGACUCUUUGCUCAAAUUGUUUCUCACUUUAUUGCAGGUGAAGAAGGAGAGGGCCGAGCGAGAGGCAUUGGGGGCUCUGCCUCUCUACCAGCGGACCAUUCCUUGAAGUGUCUCUGUGAUGUGCUUUCUUUGUUUCUGAAUUCUAGUAAAGAUGAAAUAAGAUGCAGUGAAUAAUGCUGGAACAUGUGUCUCAUCUGAACUAUUAUUUUGAUGAUUUCCUUCUUGUCUCUCGUAAAUCAUCAGUCUAUCUGCAUUCCUUGAAUUUCUGUAGACCUCUAUGACGCAGCAUGUAUAUAUCUGUUCAUUAUUCUUGCAAGACUCUACUAAGUGGAGACUUUAAAGGAUCUUUUUGGAGCUACCCAUGAUAACACCUAUAUUUUUGCUUUUAGUGGCAUGCAUGUAGUUUUUUUUCUUGGUUUCCCAAGCUUAUCACUAUCUGCGUGCAAUUCCAUUAUUGAUAUCCAUUGAUUGAUAUCAUAUAUUAGAUAACAGUGAGACCCCAGAUAGUCCUAUAUAUGAGAUAUAAUAGGGCUAAACUCUUAACCCGGCUUAAGCAUUUUGGGUGGUGGCAAGGCCCAAGAGGUUAAGAGAGUUAAGCGUGCUAGGACGGGAGUAAUCCUAGGAUGGGUGACCCCCUGGGAAGUUGGGGCGUCACAAUAACAGAUAUUUUUGAGGGUGGAUAUGAAAGGUAAAGGUGGGAACUUUAUAGCAGUACAUAGGCAAUUGCCUCCAGAAUGUAUUUUUUUCACCCCCUUUCUUGAUCUAUAAUAAUAAUAAUAAUAAUGAGUAGUUUAGUCAUUGCAUUAUUGACUGGUUUUUCUACUGCUUGGCAUUUCCCUUAGCAACAAACUAGCAAAGUUACUGAUUGACAAAAUGAAUUUGCGAGACUCCAAUGCCAACUUGUACUUUAUUUUAUAUUACUGUCUUUUUCGAAUGUUGAAGCUGGUGCCUUAUAUCUUUUUACAUGCAAGUGUACAAAACUUUCGAGCGAAACAUGCUUUUCCACGCUGUGUUUUCAUGGAAUUUGAGCUAAUUGUGAUGAUUUUGAGUUCUCUGGCUGAGUUGCAUUCUUCAUGAGGGACGCUGGAAAAAGCUUUUUUGUGCUCAAGCUAGUUUCCAUGUGUUUUGGAAGCAUCGAGAAAAGCUGCAGUCGAUUGUGUUCUUUUUUCCUUUUUUCUAGUUAUUUUUUCUGAACUUUUACUUCUUAUGUUUUUACAGUGGUUGCCUACUUUAAUUCUUUAAAAUAGUGUCAGGGCGUUUAAAAUUUUGUUAACGAACGUAAAAAAAGAAAAAGAAAAAGAAAAAAGAAAGUGUAUUUGAAAUUGUUCGGCCUCUGUUAUAUUCUUUAAUAAAAAAUCCAACAAUACCUUUCUUUCUUCUUCUUUGCUUUUUUUUUUUCCUUUUUUAAUUCUUCUGAUGCUUGUAUUCCAUUGUCUGGUAAUGAGUGUUUCUUUGUUUUUAAACAAUAAGGUCUCUCUCGUGACACAGUUAAUUGCAUUAGCGUUAAGCUUAAAAUAAAGAAAACAAAGCAAGCUUCAUUUGAUGGCUCGUUUGGUAUUGUUGGAUUUCUUUGUUUUUGUAAAAAAGAAUUUUACAAAAAAAUAUAUAGUAGGAAAUGAUAGUGUUUGCUUGGUAACAAGAAAUUAGUAAUUUUUAGUUGUUUCUAAAUUUUGUUUAAAGUAAAUUUGUUAUUCUUGAUGGGGAUUUUGCUCUUGUAGUUGCCGAGUUAGUUUUGUGUAAUUGUUCCUGUUGUACUUGACAAAUCUGAGUUGAGCAGCUAAGAUAUCAACAAAAAUUCUGUAGAUUGCAACCUUCUUAAUUAGCUUUAUGAAAAGUGUGUGAGAUUUAUACGUUUCCAUAUAAAUGUUACUAAUUUAUUUUGAUGACUAUUUUAUUGGAAAAAAGAAGAUAUGCGAAAGCUUCAUGAACUUCAGCACUAGUGCAAUUACGUGCAUGAACUCUAAAUUUGAUAAUUGAAUCCUCUGAAGUUUGUCAAAUUAUACCCGCGAACACAGUCGUGGAGUCGUGGGGCGCAGUGGUGCACCAUCUGUGGUGGAGACCAUCAGCCGAAGUUUUGCGGGCAGCGUGAAGGGAAGUGCUUUACAUGUGGUCAGGCGGGACACAUUAGCCGCUAUUGUCCAGUGAGGACUUCGCCUGCCCCAUCCGUCGCAUCGGCCCCUGCGACUCCGGGACAUUAUGGAGGAGCUCUAUCUGCUGCCGUAUCUGCUGGACGUGCGAUAGCGCCGCGUCAGCCUGAGGUGAUCCGGUCGGCUCCGAGCGGAUGGGUAUUCGCCGCUCAAGCCAAGGAACCUGCCGAGGCCGAGGAGCGCAAUGUCGUGGUAGGUACGGUUUUGAUUAAUGGAGUUCGCUCCAGGGCUAUGUUUGAUACAGGUGCUACACAUUCAUUCAUCAGUAGGCCAUUUGCACAAAUGCAUGGUAUAGAGUUCCAGUUGAGUGGAAGUACUUGGUGAGUAGAGGGCCCCGGGCGUGCAUUUGUUGUUAGAAAGGAGUGCUUGGCAUGUCCAGUGCAAGUGGGCAAUUGGGUUAUGCCGACACGGAUGUUGGUGCUCAAGAAGUUGAAGGACUUCGAUGUCAUAUUGGGCAUGGACUGGCUCUCGAAGUACUAUGCAUCUAUUGAUUGCAAGAACAAGGUGAUAACAUUUUGUAAGCCAGGACAGGAGGAGUUCACCUAUCGAACUUGCAAGAGCUCGUGUUUCGCCGCGACGGUAUCGGCGACAAGGGCAAGAAAAAUGGUUAGCGGCAGUUGCGCAGCUUACUUAGCGACCGUUGUGGAGAUCGAAAGGGUGAUUCCGGCACUUGAGGAUUUAUCCGUAGUUCAGGAGUUUCCGGACGUAUUUCCUGCGGAGCUAUCGGGGAUACCGCCGGAUCGGGAGAUCGAGUUUGUUAUAGACUUGAUUCCCGGGACCGCGUCGAUCUCGAAGGCUCCAUACCGUAUGGCAUCAGCAGAACUGAAGGAGUUGAGGGAUCAGUUGCAGGAUCUCCUAGAAAAGGAAUUUAUCAGGCCGAGUGUGUCGCCUGGGGAGCCCCGAUUCUGUUCGUGAGAAAGAAGGAGGAUCGUUUCGACUCUGCGUAGAUUAUCGCGAGUUGAAUAAGAUCACUAUUAAGAAUAAGUACCCGUUGCCCCGUAUCGACGACUUGUUUGAUCAGUUGUAGGGGUCGCGAGUGUCUCAAAGAUAGACCUCCAGUCAGGCUACCAUCAGUUGAAGAUAAAGCCGGAGGAUGUGCAAAAGACCACGUUCCGCACGCGAUAUGGACAUUAUGAAUUCACGGUCAUGCCAUUCGGGCUCACAAAUGCCCCGGCAGCGUUCAUGGACUUGAUAAACCGUGUCUUCAAAGCUUAUUUGGACCGAUUUGUCGUGGUCUUUAUAGAUAACAUUUUGGUCUACUCUCGUAGUGACGAGGAGCAUGUAGAGCAUUUGCGGAUAGUGCUUCAAGUCCUUCGGGAGGAGAAACUAUAUGCAAAGUUGAAGAAAUGUGACUUUUGGUUCCGAGAGGUUGCAUUCCUUGGGCAUGUCAUUUCCGAGGGUGGAGUUUCGGUUGGCCCGAGAAAAGUUGAGUCAAUUAAGGAUUGGCCUUGCCCGACUAAUGUCACGGAGGUCCGAAGCUUUGUGGGCUUAGCGGGCUAUUAUCGACGGUUCAUGGAGAGAUUCUCGAAGAUUAUGAUUCCACUUACCCGUCUGACACAGAAGGGCACCAAGUUCGUUUGGAGCGACGAGUGUGACCGGAGUUUCAAAGAUUUGAAGAAGAGAUUGACUUCGACUCCGGUGCUCGCCCUACCGGUGCAAGGUGAAGACUUUGUAGUAUAUAGCGACGUGUCUUAUUUGGGUUUGGGGUGUGUUCUAAUGCAGGGCAGGAAUGUGAUUGCGUAUGCAUCCCGUCAGUUGAAGAGCUAUGAGAAGAACUAUCCUAUCCACGAUUUAGAGUUAGCCGCAGUGGUGUUUGCUCUCAAGUUGUGGAGGCACUACUUGUACAGUGCGCGUUGCGAGAUAUACACGGACCACAAAAGCCUGAAAUAUCUGUUUACACAGAAGAAGCUCAACAUGAGGCAACGGCGGCGGUUAGAGUUACUAAAGGAUUAUGAUAUUACUAUCCUAUACCACCCCGGGAAAGCAAAUGUAGUGGCCGACGCAUUUAGUCGGAAGUCGACGGAGAACCUCACAUUGUGGGUCACAAACCAGGAGCCCUUGUAGAAAGAAAUGGGGCGCAUAGAUCUCGAGGUUGUAGCUCCGGAGGUUCCGACUAUGCUAUCGACUCUCGUUGUCCAACCGACCUUGUUGGAGAGAAUUAAAGGGUUGCAACCCGCGGACCCGAAUCUCCAAAAGGUGCAGCGCGACAUCGAGGGUGGGCGUGGUGGCGAGUUCAGUGUAGAUACCGAUGGCGCGCUUCGAUAUCGGAACUGGUGGUCUGUGCCGGAAAAUGAAGAGCUCCGAAAGCUAAUUUUGCAAGAAGCGCAUCGAUCCUCCUAUAGUGUCCACCCGGGCGACACCAAGAUGUAUCAAGAUUUGAAAAUGCAUUAUUAGUGGCCGGGAAUGAAAGCUGAUAUUGGACGCUAUGUGGCGCAAUACCUGGUUUGUCAACAGGUUAAGGCGGAGCGCCGGUUCCCAACAGGAAAGUUGCAGAGUCUAUCUAUCUCCGUUGGAAAUGGGAGGAUAUAGCUAUGGAUUUCGUGGUCGGGUUACCCCGUUCAUCGGGUGGCCACGAUGUGAUUUGGGUAGUGGUGGAUCGCUUGACCAAGUCGGCGCAUUUUCUACCGAUCCACACUACUUGGUUAGGAGACAAGCUCGCUCAAGUGUAUCUUGAUGAAGUGGUGAGGUUUCACGGGGUUCCAAAGUCGAUCGUGUCGGAUCGAGACCCCCGGUUUACUUCACACUUUUGGAAGAGCUUGCAAGAAGCACUCGGCAUACGACUUGAGUUUAGUACCACGUUUCAUCCUCAAACCGACGGGCAAUCGGAGAGAACCAUACAGGUUUUGGAGGAUAUGUUGCGGGCGUGUGUCAUCGAUUACAAAGGUAGUUGGAGUGAUCACUUACCAAUGGCCGAGUUCGCUUACAACAACAGUUACCAAGCUAGUAUAGAGAUGGCACCGUUUGAGGCUCUCUACGGGAGAAAGUGCCGAUCUCCUAUAUACUGGAGUGAUGUGAGCGAACGGUCGGUGUUGGGUCCCAAUGUCUUGUAGGAGGCGGAAGAGAAGGUGCGCCUUGCUCGCCAAAAAUUGUUGGCGGCGCAGUCGAGACAAAAGAGUUAUGCGAACAAGCGCCGACGAGACUUAGAGUUCGUGGUGGGUGACCGCGUCUUCUUGAAGGUUUCACUCAUGAGGGGUGUGAAACGGUUUGGAGUUCGGGGAAAGUUGAGCCCUCGAUACAUUGGGCCAUAUGAAGUGUUGGAGCGGAUUGGUGCAGUACCAUACCGGCUUGCAUUGCCACCCAAGCUCGUGGAUGUUCACAAUGUAUUCCACGUUUCCAACCUUCGCAAGUACAUCCACGACCCCGAGCAUGCUUUGUUGUAUGAGCCACCGGAAUUGCAAAAAGAUAUGAGCUAUGAAGAGUUUUCGGUGUCAAUUAUUGCUCGAGAACUGCUAAAGUUGAGAAACUGCGAGAUUCCCUACGUCAAGGUUCGGUGGAGCAAUUACGCCGAUCGCGAAGCCACGUGAGAACUUGAGGACGUAAUGAAAGCGCACCAUCCUCAUUUCUUCGAGGAGCGAGUUAAGGUGUGAGUUUUGUUUAAGUUAGUUUCGAGGACGAAACUCCUUUUAAGGAAGGGAGGAUGUAAUAUACCGAAAAUUCAGAAAAUAAAUAUCGAACUUUAGUCAAAUUGACCAAAGUGCGAGGACGGUACACUUCGGAAAGUCCGGAGGUGUUAAAACGAUCAAAAGUGUGUUGUGGAAGGUUUUCGAGAGCUAAAGAAUCAAAUCCUGCAAAACUGCAGAUUUUCAGCUCUCGGGGACCGGUCCCUGGUGGGAGAGACCGGUCCCCGAACGCGUAUGAAAUGAGACAGCCGAAAAAUCGGCUAAAUCCUGAGAAAGUAGCUCUCGGGAACCGGUCCCUGUCCGAGAGACCGGUCCCCCAAAAAGAGACCGGUUGCCCUGCGCGCAGCAACUCUGGCUGCGCGGGGAGAGCCUUCGGGAACCGGUCCCUGAAGGAGAGACUGGUCCCUGCCUGCACGAACAGCCCAGUCCAGGCUGUGUGAAAGAGUAAAAGUUGAGGGGUUUAGCUGCAUUUUGGCAACCCAUUGAGUAUAGUAUUGGGGUAAAUGAGACAUUUCUCUCAUUCUCACCCUCUCACACUCUCUCCUCUCUUUCUCUCUCUAGAAGACAAAGAAAGAGAAGAAGAAGGCAAAGGAAAAAAAAGGAAAAGAAGACAAAGAAGGUGAAGAAGAAGCUUUUGGAGCAAAGAGGCUUCAUCUCCUUCUUCUCUAGUGCAAGAAAAUGAAGCUUACAAGGUAAGCUUUGAACCCUAAUGUAGUAAAACCCUAGAAAUGGGUUUGAAUGAACCUAGAAAUGGUUUCUAAUGGAAUAUCUAGUAGUUUGAAGCUUUCUUUUUGCUUCUUUAGAGAUCAAAACCAUGGUUGAGCUCAAGGUGAGCUUCAACCCACCUCUAAUGGUGAAAUCUAAUCUAGGGUUUUGGAAAGCCUAAGAAUGGUUCUAAUGGACUAUUUAGAGUAUAGUGAAGCUACUUUUGCUUCCCAAAGAGAUCAAACCCUAGGUUUUGAUAUACAUUGGAGCUAGGGCACCCAAAUUGGGGCUUUUGCUCAUGAGGGUUUCUAAGUGCAAUUGACCCUCUAAAAACCUAAUUGGGGGUAUUUCCGACGCGUUGGUGCGCUCGGAUUAACGUUACGAAAAGCCGAUGAAAAGUUAUGGGCAAAAUGGCCUAAUAAGGGUUCGUUUUGCCGCAGGUAAAGAACGAAGCAUCUAAAAAUCCCAAGAAAAUCAUCGGAGCACCUUUGAAAGCCUACGAGGUGGGUGGUGCUUCUCAAACUCAUUGAACUUCUCUCUAUGCCUAAUGUGUCAUUCAUUUGAGCAUGUGUAAUAUAUAUUGUUGCAUGCAUAUUAGGGUAAAGUAAUGAUAAGAAUGUGAUGAUAGCAUGAUUGUGAGUACAACUUGCUUAUAAUGAUGGUAGAGAACCAAAUAAAUGUCAAAACCCUAAGUGUAUGCAUUAGAGAAAAGUGAGCACCCAAAGUGAGCAAAAGAACAGAGUGACACUAUGACAUAGAUCGAGUGGCAUUUGAAAAUGUAAAGUAAAGAGACACUAGAGUUAGUGUGAUGCAAAGAACCAAUGUAAUGUAAAGAAUGAUGAAAAUGACAAUGUGUAAAGUUAAAGUAAAGUGGGGCAAUAAGAACGAGAAAUGUAAAGAAUAUAAUUACUAGAGUUAGCAAAAGUAAAAGAAAAGUAAAGAAUAACGAUUGCAUAUAAUUGCUAGAGUUAGCAAAAGUAAAAGAAAAGUAAAGAAUAACGAUUGCAUGAGUUUGCAACAUAAAGUGAUGUAAAGAACACUAGAGCUAGUGUAAAGUCAAGAUUGAACUUAUAAAUCCUUUGAGUUAAGGAUAUGAUCAUACUUGCUAUGAGUUCCGUGCUCGAGGGCGGUCGCUCCCCCUCGGGCGAUGCGCUCCGGAGUUAUGCAUCACGGGUUGGAGUAAACCCGAAGGACGGUCCUAGCGGGUGAGUUCCUGCGAUGAUGGACUUAAUGUGAAGCAAGUUAAUGUGGCGAAACCCCCGGGUUAGCCUUGAGAUUAAAGAACAAAGAACAAAGAACAAAGAAUAAAGAACAAAGUACAAAGUAAAGUCAAAGAACGAAUGAGUUUGCAUAAUCUGCAUUUAUUUAAUGUUGAGCAUACUUCUUGCUUAUUGUUCAGGCAUAUUAGCAUCAUGUUAUAGAUUGGUUACUAUACAGCUUAUUCUUUCUAUUAUGCCUGAGUUAGUCCUAGUGGGAAAGUCGGUGAUGUUGAGGCCGAACCCACUGGGAACUUUGUUGUAGUUCUCACCCCACUAUUUCCACAGAGCCGGGACCGAGCGAGCCGGCGAGCGACCGAGGUAAAGGUAUCGCGCCUUAGUCAGAGGCCACCAAAGUUGGGUUUCAUUUUGUAGUAAAGUACCCUAUGAUCAUCUUUUGUACAUGAUGGUAAAUGAUGUAAGGAAAAGAAUGUAAAGCUUAUUUUGAGGUAAAUGUGAUGUAAGAAAGAAAUGAUGAAAUUAUGUAAUGUAAUGCAAAGAAUCCUAAAUGUAAGUGAUGGAUGCACUGUAUAUGAUCUAAAAUGAAUCAUAUUACUCGUGAAUGUUUAGUUUCCUUUUUCUUUCACUAAUGGCUAUUGCUUACCCUCGUGUAAGCCGUUUGUGUAUGUUUCCGCUAGUACUUUUCUCUUUUGAUGAAAAUGUACAUGUGAUGAGCCUUGGGCGGAUAGGGGAAACUCUGUCUGUUCGGCGUCUGUUUGACGUGCUCGGGUCGGGCCAAAUUGGCAUCGGUCCCGGGGCGUGACAGAGGAUGUAAGGAAAUGAAACCUCGACACGUGAAUCCGAACUUCGAUCAAAAUUGAUUGGAAGUUGGUUCGGGACGUUUCGGAAAGGCCGAAAUCGUCGAAAAUGGCUUUAGAGGGCUGUAGAGGACCUUGGAGAGCAUGGAUAUGUAAAUUUGCGAAGUUGUAAAAUUUACGAGCUCUCGAGAUCCAGACACUAGCUUCAGGGUCCGGACACUGUAGCCUGAAACUACCCAGCGCGGACAGUGUAAAAAAUAGCUAGUUGAGGGGUUUCUUGCAGUUGUGCUUGUGUAGAGUUAUGAGAGGGGUGUUAGGGCUCAUUCUUUUCACCCUCUCUCAUUUGCAACCAACAAAAGACCCUCUCUCUCUCUCUAAGAAGCUCUCUCUCUCUAGGAGUUGAUCAAGAGGAGGUGGAGAAGGAGGAGAUUGGAGCAAAGAAGUGGAGCUCCAUCAUCAUCUUCAUCUUCUUCUUCCCUUUUGCUUGGAGAGGAUAGCUUUUGGAGGUAAGCUUUGAGCUCUCCCAUAGUAGAUUGCUAGGGUAAGGUUUGAAUACCCUAGGGAUAGAAUUUAUUGGACCUCUAGAUGUAGUUGAACUCAUUUAUUGCAUGAGCAAUGAGCUAGAUGAAGCAUUUUGCGAUGUGAGAUUCUAGGGCAUCGAAAAGAGGGCUUUUGCUCAUGAAGGGUUUUGAGCUAAAUUGAUCUCCUCUAAACCUAAUUGCUAGGUUUUCUAACGCAUUGGUGGCCUCGGAUCGGUAAUCCGAAGGGGCUACGUGAAGAUAUCGAAGAAAAGGACGUUUUGGCUUCGUUUCCGCCUGGAGCGCCGAGGCGACGUCCAAAAAUUACGAAAACGGAACCCUAGCAUCUUGGUAACACUAGAAGGUGGGUGGUGUCAUCCUGAAGCAGUUGGGCUUCUUCCUAUGUCCAAGUUUUAUUAUUGAGCAUACAUGAAUAUGUGUUAUCUUGCAUCGUAGGAUAUGUUGAGUAGUCGUAGCUAUAUUUCCUUACAUGCUUCCAUAGUAGUGAUAGAAAUUAUGGGUUGAACACAUAUUCUAGUGGUUGCAUGACGAUUGGGUGUGACAUUGGAUCCUAUAGUGGCAAGAUUAAGUAAUAACUUGGAUGAUAUGUUUAUGUAGACGAGUGGCAUGUCAAUUAGUGUGGUAGAAACACUUAAACAUGAUUACAUAAACGAGUGGCAUAUGAUUUAGUGUAGUAGUAGACACUUGGAAAACAUAUGACAUAAAUGAGUGACAUUUGGUCUUAGUGUGGUAGAGACACUAUGAUAUGAACCGAGGAAUAGCAGAAUUUUCCAAUUUGCCAAUGAGAUAUUGAAUCAAGUACGGUAGAAGCACUGUGACCCUUGUAGACAGGGUAUCCUCUGCAGAUGAGGAUUAGAUCAUACUCACUUAGUUUGUUUUUCGCUUGGGGUGGUCGCUCCACACAAGCAGUGGUCUCCGGAGAUGUCACACUAUGGGCAGAUGUAGUUGUCUCGCAGACAGUCUCGGUGUGCGAGUGCAGAUUCUCCUUACCUAUGAGAUUUUGAAAAGUGAGUCGAGGCGUAACCUUCGGGUUAGCCAAGCAGAUUGAAUAAUAAGUGAUUGAAUGGCAUAGUAGAGUGUGCAUUCAUACCAUGACAUGUACUUAUAGCCAUAUUAGUAGAUUUUCCUAACUAUGUGUAUAUCUUAUCUAUAAUAUUGUUGAAGCAUAGUAGUAAGCUAGUUGAAUGUUAUUGCUAUGUAGAGUUAGCAUUCAUUACAUUAUGUUGAUCAAGGCAUAGAUCAGCGGAGUCGGCGGUCGAACCCACUGGGAACUAUUCAUAGUUCUCACCCCACUUUGUUGCAGGGCCUAGCGAGAGUGCACUAGCAGUUGAUCGCGGUAAGGGCAUAGCUCCCUAGCUAGAUAGUGGCUUUCCUACUUGCAUUAGAUCACCUAUGUACUUGAGAGAUGAUGAUGUAUAUUUGGUAAGGGUGCUUUUGGAGAGUUGUAUGUAUACACAUGUCAUGAGAAGAACUGUAAUUAAAGAUGUAUUCAUUUUGGUGAAGUAACCCAAUGUGAAUGUGGAUGAAAAGAAAAUGUAAUAGCUAGAUCCAUCUCUUUCUUGUUCACUUGUAUGUUACUUGUGUCUCUUGCUUUUGCUUGUAUCGCACUUGUGGUACUUCAUGUAUGUUGUAUGUCAUCCUGGGGGACAAAAAUGUACAUGACUUCAUUGUUGACCCUUGGGCGGACAGGGGAGGUGCUGUCCGUUCGGCGUCCGAUCGACAUGCCCAAACCGACCAAAUAGGCGGUCUUGGGGCGUGACAAUAGCCCUUGCAUCUUCUUUGGCUCAUUUGUUGCAGCCUCUUUUUUAAGAUUAUAAUCAAUACUUUCUUUAGAAUUGUGGGCUGUAUUUUCAACAGUUUCUGUGUUACUUCCAACUACUGCUGAAGUAGUGUAUGCAUUUGGGGCAUUGGGCGCAUGCAGGCUUGAGUAGAGGUGGCUGUGUUGCGAGUAGAUUUAGCAGCUCCUCAGGCUUGCUAACACUGUCCCGCAACUUCACAUCACACUUCAAUUUGUAUAAUUUCAUCUUUAGAUCUUCAUAAUGGUUUUGCUCCAGUUUUCUCACCUCAGCUUUAGAGUUGGUUUCAGAAUUAUUUAGUGAACUAUCCCCUCCUUCUGUAGCCUUGAGUGCAGGUAAUGGACCAAAUUGUUCUACAGUGCCUUGCACUUUUAUCUCAUUUCUCUCAUCAGACAUAGGUCGGCUCUUGGGUGAAUGUAGGAGUUGUUCAUGCUUGCGGUCAUCCUCCUGCAUCAUGAUUUCGUGUAUCUUAAUGGCUUCACAAUUCCCUCGGUAUUUGUCCAAAGAGCUAGUUUGCUUACAAGUACUAAACUCUCGGUAUUUGUUCAAUUUUCUCUCUGUGCUGGGUGUUGUAACAGAAUAAGCAGCUUUGGGUGGAGAUUGUUGUGCUGCUAGCAGUUUCAGCAUCUCUCCAUGCGCAUCCACAUUGUCCUUUAGCAAUAUUUCAUCCCUCUUGGUGGCUUCUGUCUUCAGAGUGUCAUAGUAUCCUUGCUCUGUCAUUUUCUUUUCGGCUUCAUGUCUGUGGCCAUUCUUCUCCACCUUAACAUUUCGCCGUGCCGCUUCAUCAUUCUCUCGAUAACACUCUACAGAGCCGGUUUGCUCAAAACUACUAAAUUUUUGGAUUGGGUACCUCUCUUCCACCUCCGUAAAUCUUUGACAAAUGGCCUUGGUAAAUGUUGAAGCAUAAAAAAAAAAAAAAGAAAAAAAAAAAGAAAAAAGUGGAAAGAGAGAAAAUUUGAAUAAUGGUGUAUGAGAUGGUCUAUGCACUAGGUGCAUGGAGAAAUUUGAGUUCAAAUUUUGAAUGUGGUGCAUAGGUUAAUCCAUGCACCAGGUGCAUAAACUACAAAGAGGAGGAAGAGAGAGAAUGCUCUCGUAGGCAAGGCUAUUAUACAUGGCAAAUAGCAAAUUAGUCCUUUCCCUUUCAGAUAUUUGCAAGAUGCUCCAUUUUAAGCAUAUAAUAUCUUGUUAUUUUAACUAAACUAUAAUAUAAACAAAGUGAAGGGAAUAAUUUGUAAUGUUAUACCCAUGAACCCAUGAUCCCACGACUGUCAAAAAAAUCUCCCACGUCCAACUUCCCAUAUCCCCACAAUCCCCACUAUACGCACAUCCUAAAANCAGUGGUCCCCAGCUGAUCCACAAAAAGGCAUCACUGUAAUAUAGGACCCAUAGCCGUUUGUUUAUUUUUUAUACUAUCCGCAUUGUUUAUAUUAUUCACUUUAUUUAUUUUUUAAAAAAUAAAUUUAAUAAAAAAAAUAAAAUAAUCAAAAUUUAAAAUUUAAAAUUUUAAUUAUUAAUUAUUAAAUUCUUUGUUACUCGUGCUUGGGAAAAUAGGUUUAAACUUUAAACUGGUGCAAUUAGCCUCUGUAAAAGAUCCUCGGUCAACGAUGUCAACUUCGUGAUUUAGCCAGAAAAAAAAAAAAGGAAAAAAAAAAGCUACGGUAACGUUAUUAUUAUUUAUACUCGCCCCGACGUAAUGGGCUCUAUCCACAGCUCACCCUCUCAACCAACUCCGACACGCAAACGAGAUCUCUCUCCAUCUCCAUUCCGGGUAUAUAACAAACCCUCCCCACGGCUCCCUCGUCCUCCUCCGCCAUGGAUGAGCUCAUCGUGGUGGAGCGGCGACCCCAUGGAUCCGCGGUGGCCGUGGUCACCAUCAACCGCCCGGGCACGCUCAACUCGCUCACGCGCCCCCUGAUGGUCACGCUCGCAGGCGCGUUCCGCCGCCUCGACGCCGACGACGCCAUGGUCGCCGUGGUCCUCGCCGGGCGUGGCCGCACCUUCUGCUCCGGCGUCGACCUCGCCGCCGCCGAGGACGUCUUCAAGGGCGACGUCAAGGACCCCACCGCCGACCCCGUCGCCGCCAUGGCCGCGUGCCGCAAGCCCAUCGUCGGCGCCGUCGCCGGAUUCGCCGUCACCGCCGGGUUCGAGAUCGCCCUCGCCUGCGACUUGCUCGUCGCGGGCCGCGACGCCAAGUUGGUCGACACCUCGCCGACCCCUACGCUGCCGAGGCCGCCGCUCCUCGCUGAACUCAACUACCCGAGGCCGUCCGCCUCCUCGCCGACCUCUACGCUGUCGAGACUGCCCGCCGCCUCGCCGACCCCCGUGCCGUCGAGGCCGCCCGCUCUUCGCGUCGCUGCGCUCGGCCUUCUACGGCCGCACCAUGCACGUCGACCACGCCGCGCGCACUGGACCUUCUAUCCCGUCAUGUGCGUCGCGCGGCUCAACCUCUUCACGCAAUCCCUCGUCCUGCUGCUCUCCCCGCGAGGCGCGUGCCGCACCGCGCGCAUAAGCUACUCGGCCUGCUGGUGUUCUGGACGUGGUUCUCGCUGUUGCUGUCAUGCCUACCGUCCUGGCCCGAGCGGCUGGCGGUCGUGCUCGUCAGCUUCGCGACGACGGGAGUACAGCACGCGCAGUUCUGCCUGAACCACUCCUUGUCGAGUGUCUACAAGAAGCACGGCCUGCAGUACUCCUCUUUCUCCUUCUACGGGACGCCCUCGACACCGGCCUCUUCUCCGUCAUGGCCAGCCUUGUCACCGCUUACCAGGUGUUCGCUCUGUGUCUAAAAUGAACAUCGGUUCUUUAAAAAGAGCUGCAAGUUGCGGGCGAAACGCAGCGGCUACACCGCAUGAGCCGUGGCGUCCGUCCAGGCUAUGGUGCUCAAGGCGGAGCACGCGCAGGCGGUGGACGCGCUGCAGAAUGCGCCGACGAUUGGUGCGCAGCAACGGGCGGCUCGCAGACGUCAACAGCGAGCUCUCGGCCGUCGGCACGUUCGUUGACACCUGCCAGGACUUGUUUGACGAGUUCCCGGACGUCUACGGUUCGUUCCUCGCAAACGUGCAGACCAAUCUCAGAAGCAACAGCAUCAACCUCGCCGCCUACAAGGCUGCCUAUGAUAUUGCUUUGACGGAGUUCACGCCAACAAAUCAUGCCUGCCAACUAUUUGAUGAAAUGCUUAAGAUGUACUUUUAACGUCGAACCCGAUCUGUAUAUAAAGAGAGAGAGCGGUGCUCUUCUCUUUAUAAAAAUGUUUUAUCAAAAGGGAGUGAGCGGUGCUCUUCCCUUUAUAAAAAUAUAGCAUCAUCGAAAGAGGGAGAGAGCGGUGCUCUUUUCUUUGCAAAAAAAAAGAGAGAAAGAGGGAAAAAGAUUACUCCUCUAAUUAUGAAAGAGAGAGGGAGAUUUGUUACAAAAAGGGAGGCAAGGAAGGGAUUUUCCCACCUUAGUUGUCCCAUGAAUGUAAAAGAGACAAAGAAGAAUUAUCUAUCUUUGUUGUCUUGUAUCUUCAAAGGAGAUAAAGAGAAAAAUUCUCUCUUAAUUCUCCUAUAAUGAGGAGACAAAAGAAAAUUAAUCGGGUUAUCGAUUAAUAUUCUUUUGAUUGUCCUUUUAUUGGAAGAACAAUGUAAUGUUCGAAAAUAAUCGAACUCUUUGAUUCUAUCCAAAGUCGAAUCUUUCGAUUUGGUCAAAUUAGACCAAAUUAAGAUUUAAUCGCAUUGGACAUUUUAUGUGAUUCAUGACUGAGAAUUUGACAAAUAAAAAAAAACAUUUGAAAUGUUUAAGUAAUGAAUUUGAUUCUGAACAAUAUAUUUAAAUAUUUUGAUCUCAAACAAAUCCUAAAUAAUUCCCAUCUCAAAAUCUCGUAUGGAACAAGCCCGUACUCACCUCAAAUCACAUAGUCCAAGCUCUAACCACUCAGGUUCAGCCCAAACAUAAAUCUGGGCCCAAUUCUAUAGUUUACCCAAAGAAAUAUGGACCUAAGUCAUAUGGGCCUGAAUUGAGCCCGAGCCCAUAUCCAAAAUUUAGAUAUAGUUCAGACCUCAACCUGAAUCCAUACUACAUGGGCCUGAAUUUAGCCCAUACCCGAAUCCAAAUCAUAUAAGCCUACAUUUAGUCUAUGCCUGAACCUUAAUCUGAACCCACAUUGAGCCCAGGCCCAAGUUUGAAUGCAAACCUAAUCCAAACUAGUCCAUUAAAAAAAAAAAGAAUGCCCAAAUUGAAUCAAGUCUAAAUUGAGAAUCAAUUCAGAUGAAUCUCCUUAUCAUAUUGCUAUCACAUUCAUAUUAGAUCAAAUUCUAAAAUAUUUGUUUAGAAUUGAUCAAACUAUUUUUUUUAUCUUAGUAUAUGUGACUAAGAUAAAAAUAACAAAUUAGGUUUUACCUAAUCAAAUCAAAUUUAUUGAACUCUAAUACAUCUACUUGGACUUCAAACAAAUUAAACUGAAUUAGACUCUAAUACAUACACUUAGAGUUUAAUUUAAAUUGCAUUUGACUAAUCCUAAUAUAUACAACUAGGAUUUAGUUGAUACUUCACCUCCUGGUGAAUCCAAAUUAGACUCUAAUACAUACACUUAGAGUUUAAUUUAAAUUACAUUUGACUAAUCCUAAUAUAUAUAACCAGGAUUUAGUUGAUAUUUCACCUCAUGGUGAACCCAAAUUAGACUCUAAUACAUACACUUAGAGUUUAAUUUAAAUUAUAUUUGACUAAUCCUAAUAUAUAAUUAGGAUUUAGUUGAUUUAGACUCUAAUACAUACACUUAGAGUUUAAUUUAAAUUAAAUUUUGACUAAUCCUAAUAUACAUCAUUAGGAUUUAGUUGAUAAUUCACCUCAUGGUGAACCCAAAUGAAACUAAAUUAGACUCUAAUACAUACACUUAGAGUUUAAUUUAAGUUAAGUUAUAUUUUGACUAAUCCUAAUAUAUAAUUAGGAUUUAGUUGAUUUAGACUCUAAUACAUACACUUAGAGUUUAAUUUAAAUUUUGACUAAUCCUAAUAUAUAUAAUUAGGAUUUAGUUGAUAUUUCACCUCAUGGUGAACCCAAAUGAAACUAAAUUAGACUCUAAUACAUACACUUAGAGUUUAAUUUAAAUUAAAUUUUGACUAAUCCUAAUAUAUAUCAUUAGGAUUUAGUUGAUAAUUCACCUCAUGGUGAACCCAAAUGAAAGUAAAUUAGACUCUAAUACAUACACUUAGAGUUUAAUUUAAGUUAAGUUAUAUUUUGACUAAUCCUAAUAUAUAAUUAGGAUUUAGUUGAUUUAGACUCUAAUACAUACACUUAGAGUUUAAUUUAAAUUUUGACUAAUCCUAAUAUAUAUAAUUAGGAUUUAGUUGAUAUUUCACCUCAUGGUGAACCCAAAUGAAACUAAAUUAGACUCUAAUACAUACACUUAGAGUUUAAUUUAAAUCAAAUUUCGACUAAUCCUAAUAUAUAUAAUUAGGAUUUAGUUAAUAUUUCGCCUUAUGGUGAACUCAAUGUGAGGUGUAAUUAAGCUCUAACAUAUAAGCAUAGAGCUUAAUUACACUAGACUCUAAGAUAUAAAAUUAGAGUCUAAUUCGAAAUAUUUGGGCUAAUCCUAACACAUACAUUUAGGAUGAAAGCUUAAAUCAAUUUAAUCAAAUCAAACUCUAAUGCACCUAACUAGGGUUUAAUUUGAAUCAAAUCCGAUUAAGUCCCAAUGCAUAUACAUGGAAUUUAAUCAAUCCCUCACCUUAGGGUGAACAAUAUUGUUGAGCACUGAAACAUAUAGAGCCCAAUCAAAUCAAUUUGAUCAUACACUUUGAUUCAGAAUCAAGUUCAAUCAACCGUCAUAUUCAUUCAUGUACACUGGGGGUAUGCCCCUGGUUAAGCCAUGUAACUAUACAAUGGAUUAUGUUAUAAAAUCCACAUUUUAUUCAAUUUCAGUCUAUUUCAGCAUUACAGAGGUCUCUUAAUCGAAGGUGCCCUAACACUUUGUAGGGGUAAUUAACAAUAAACGCUUGCGUUUAUUGGAAGCCAUGAAUCCACAAUACCUGAUUCCCAUACAUAUUCAAAUAUUAAUCUGAAUCAUGAAUACUACCCCACGGUAAAAUCAAAAUAAGAUUAACCGCGCGAGGUGCAUCAUUCGUGGUCGCAGACAGUAAACUCACUCCAAUUCGCCCUCGGAUGGUUAAUGAAGUAUGCAUGCUUCCAUAUUCUUACCUUUUCCCCUAUGUGCGUGGAUGGGAUGCCUGUCCAUUGUUGCUCAGGAACUUGGUAUCUGUCAAAAUACUGCUCGCAAUUUUGCAACCAUCCUUUUGGAUCUGUUCCGUUAAAGGUUGGGAUUUGUAACUUCAAGUAUGGUAUAUAUUGUUGCGGUGGUUGGUUUCUUGCAGGCCUAAUUAGUGUAGGUGGUAGCCUUUUUCCCUCAAUAGGAGCUAGUAUUUUUCUUUCCAUAUCAUUCUGUUGCAUCACAAAAUUGCUACUCGUGGGAUUGUCUUGUACGACUUGUCGGCCUUCUCUGAUCACCAAAGGGGUAUUCACUGACUGUGAGCUCGACAUUAAAGCUGUUAGCAGCUCUACUAGUUGCUGAUGUCUUUUAGCAUCUUCUUGUCGCCAUUUUUCAUAUCUUGUGGCUUCUUCCAUCCGUAGAGAUUCAUACUUAUGCUGCCGUGUAUUUUGUAAGUUAUCUAUCUGCUGGGCUAGGCACUCGUCUCCCUCUGACUAUAGUAACUACGUCAAGGUGGCCGAUGAUGCUAUACUGAAGCUAAGUCACUGAUUCAACUAAUGGAACAGUGACUUAACACUUUCCCAACCUUGAUACAUUCCUCAACAAUGGCAAUAUAGGAAUUGACGAUUUAAACUAAUGCUAAAAAACGAGUUGCUAGUAGUGGUCACCUUGCAUCCAAGCUGUUUGAUGAAUUGCGCAGCUGCUCGACUCUUGUAAUUGCUUCAGAAUGGUUUUCGAUCGUUGCUCGCGACUUGUUUGUUGAAUCGCCUAGUUGUUGUACCAUCUAUUGACUUCAAAUUUGCCUUGUUCCCUGUCUUACUCCUUGGUGCACUCUUGCUCACUUGGUGUUUGAUGAAAUUGCUAGCUAUUUUUCUCUCUUUGCAGCCCCAACUUGAUUUUUGUAGCUCACUGUUGCCUCUACCUAUUCAAAGCGGGAUCCAUUUCAGCCGCUGCAACUCCAGAUGGGAUCCUGCGGCCUCGGAGAAUUAUGGGUUCCUCCUUAGCUGCAGAUCAGAGAUCAAUUUGGUCUCCGCAGUGUCUCCCUUUGUCCAAAACUGAUCGGAAUCAAUUCUUAGAGCGCGGGAGAUUGUUCGCCAAGCUAACUCCAUGAUCUAAAAGAUCGGAAUCAACGCGCGAAUUCACUGCACCUUGCCUUGAGAUCGUUUCGCUCUGAUACCAAUUUGUAAUAUCCCGGACUCGUCGCAACCGCCGAUGAUGAGAAUUCGCUGAGGUGAGGACGGCGACGGGGAUGAUGGUGGUUUCCGACAGCGAUUCCGAUGUAACCGAGGUAAGAAAAAGGUAAGAAAAGAGAAAGAGAAGUAGAGGUAGAGUUGGGGAUACAGAUAGAGAUAGAGAUAUAGGUAGAGGGGAAAUUGAGAUGAGGAUAGGAGAUUAGAGGUAGAGAAGAGAUAAGAGUUGGGGAAGGAGAGUUUAGAGGAGAAGGAAAAUUGAGGAAGAAGCAGAUUCAAUAUUCCAUUUCAUUGAUACUCAAAAAUGUUUACAACCUGCUUCUUGUACUCCUCCAUACAUAGUAUUAAAAUGCAAAUAACAGGAAAAUGUGGACUAAGCUGUAAUUGUUAGUAAGAACAAUUAAAUAGAGUUGUGGGCCAAUUUUGAUGGGAAAGUGGGCCUCGAGUUGGGCUUGACCGGUCCUGAGCAUAGUUAGUUAAUUCGGAUUCGGCAAAAAUUCGGUACGGAUAUAAUUCGAAUAAAAUUCGUCUUUUAAUUUUUAAAUUCGUUAAAAAAUACGGCUAAAAAACGGAUUCGAUAAUUAUUCGGAUACGUGAUUUAUACGGGUAUUAUACGUUCACCAAUUAAAAAUUCGGGAUAAAAAAUUCGGCUAUAUAUUAAAUAUAUAAUAAUUAAUAUACUAUAUAUAUUAUUAUUAUAAUUUUUAUAUAUAAAUUAAAUAUAUUCAUAUAUUAAUAAUAAACAUAUAUUAAUAAUAUAUAAGAUUUAUAUAUUUAAAAAUAUUAAUAAAUAAUUACAAAUUUAUAAAUAAAAUAUCAUAUAAAUAUUUCUAUAUAAAAAUAAAAAUAAAAUAAUAUAUAUAAUAAAUGAAUAUAUAUAUAUAUAUAAGAGAGGGAGGUCCACAGGUCCACUGUGGACCUCCCCUCAUGCGGUCCACGAGGUGGAAAUGGCCUCGUGGACCGCGUGCACCAUCCAUGCCUUAUGAGCCCCGAUUUUUUUCCUGUUCAUCUUCUUUUUUUCUGCCGAGGCGAGACGGGAUCCGCAGCGUUGCUCUCGGCACCGGCGAGGGCGGCGGAGGACGACGACGACGUGAGCGGCGACGAGACAGGAUCCGCAGCCGUGGCCCUUGCUCCCGGCGCCGGCGAGGGCGGCGGAGCCGGCGAGGGCGGCGGAGGACGACGACGACGCGAGCGGCGACGACGCGACCCUCGGCCGAUCGCCGAUUUUUUGGGCGAUUUAUUCGCGAAUCGCGAAUAAUUCGCGAAUAAUUAUUUUUGAGAAAAAAAUCGCGUUUUUUUCCUAAUUUUUUGAAAAAAUACGGGACGCCCCGUUUAAUUCGUAUUUUUUAAAGUACGAGAAUUAUUCGCGUAUUAAUCGCGAAUUAACUAACAGAGGUCCUGAGCAUCAUGUAAGCGGGUAAUAGGGCGAAUGGAUAUCGGGUUGCCUUAUCAGCACUAUCCUCAAACCAGCGGAUAGUGGGUCCGCGUUUUACGCCCGAUCCGUUAAUCUGACCGCCCGAUCCGCCUACUACUUCUCCCCAAAUCUGCAGAUUUGGUCGGACUCCCUUCCGCUCGCUCUCCUCUCUCCUCUCUGCCUCCAGGGACGCCCUCGUUGCCUCCGGCUUCUUCUCCGUCAGCGCCCGAGCCCUUCGAAGGCGCUCCCCGCAGGAUCGCUCCGCCGAGCUCGCUCCUCACCAUCGUGCUGCUGCCCUUAUUCCUCGCUUAACUAGUAAAGCUACCACUUUUACUACUUCUCCUUUUAAGUUUUAACUACUCUACUCCUUUAUUCUUCAGGUUGUUACAUUCUUCAGGUUGUUACAGAGAGAAAGAGAAAUGGCGUUGUCGUCAUGGACGCAGUGGCUCAUCAACCCCCGCCGCAACUGGCUCGCGCGCCAGCACAUGAAGGCCGUCUCCAAACGCCUCAGGAACUACGGUAGCAACUCUUUCCUCCCCAAUUAGGGUUAGGGUUAGGGUUUUUAUUUUUUUCUUUUCUUUUUUCCCUUGAAUCGGCGAAAUCCGAGAUCAUUGAUGUUAAUGUUAUGAUCUACUGCGUUUGGUUUUAGGGCUUCGGUACGAUGAUCUGUACGAUCCGUACUACGAUCUAGAUAUUAAGGAGGCCCUCGCGCGGCUCCCGCGGGAGGUGGUGGACGCACGGAACCAGCGGCUCAAGCGCGCCAUGGAUCUCUCCAUGAAGCACGAGUACUUGCCCGAGGAUCUCCAGGUUGUCUCCCUCUUCCUUGCUUUCCGAUUCCGCUGAAAUUUUAUUGUUGAUGUGAAAAAAAUGAGUAUAUAGGUGCUACGGAAUGGUUGAUCCCUUAGGUCUCUCUUUUGGAUAAAAUAUUUAUAGGGCAUCACUGCAAGUUGAGCCGGAGAUCAUUGCCGUGAUCUCCAUCUCAUGGUCAGAUCCUCUUUGAGAAAAAAGGUAAUCUAGAAGAGUCCACCAGUGAUGAUUCUCCCUGUUUUGUGCUUAAAAUGAUUUGAGGAGAAUUUUUUUUAUAUUGAUUAGCAAAAAUCAUGAAUAAUUGACCCACUUCCAUUUCAAUUGAAGGAGAUGAUUAGAGAGUUAGAAAUAGAUAGGGUACUUGAAGGGUGAUAAUAUAUGGUAGGUAAAAUAAUGCAAGUAAAAUAAAACGCCUAUUAGAUUGGUAUAAGGAAUAGUGUGGGUGUGCAGACUCUGGAUGAACUAUUAGUUGUAUUUAUGGUGCAUAGAAGACAAUUAAAUGUUGAAGUGCUUGUUAGAUGUCCUAUUGAAUAAAUACAUCUGAGAUUUCUGAAGCUACAAAGUAAUAUUUUGAAACUGAUCCAAAUAGUUCUUGAUCAAACUUAGCUUGAAAUUUUGCAAUUGUCUGUUUCAUAAAUUAGAUAAUAGCUGGAGAGAUUUUAUACUGUGAAUGGUGUUGAUUCACAAAUAACAGCAACUCAUUCCCUAAAUUUAAAUGUACAGUGAAACUUAUAAACCUAUAGCUAGAUGUAAAGUAAAGAGACUAUGUUAUAUGUACUCGUGUAUGGUAAUUGUAACUUACUAGUUGCUGUCUGUACAUUGUGCUUAUUAGUAGCUUAAUAGAUCAUAUGCUGCUUGGAGUUGGAGGGAGUUUUGAAUGCUAGUUCAUCUAAUAGCUACUUAGAUAUUCUUCUGAAUAGCUUCUCUUUUGAUCAAGUGUUGGCAAGCUAUCCGAAUGUUGGGGUGUGAUCAACCUAAGAUAGCACUUGUUAGUAGCCUUGUGAAAUGCUUGUGUCUUACGACUAGCUUCUCUUUUGAUUAGUGUAACUUGGAAUGGUCAAUUUUCGCAAUACUGGUGUGUGAUCAACCUCAAUUAACACUUGUUAGUGGUCUUGUGAAAUGCUUUGUGUUCUUUUGUAAUUUUUGUAUUUUAGCAUCAUAAAGAAAAAAUAAUUUCUUUGUUAAAGAGAAAAAUUAUAUUAUAAGAGCAAUGCUGUUUAGUCACUUAACCAUGUAAAUUAAUAUUGAAUGCAGAAAAUGAUAUAUUGACGAAACCAUGAUAAGAGGUAAGUUGGUUCACUAGAUGUGCUAGUAGCAAGGAUUUAAAUGCCCAUUAGUGGUCGUGAUCACCAUGCCAUACUGUGCUGACAAGACAUCAACACGAUAUAAAUCCCGCGCCGAUGGCACGACUCAAAUCCCUAUUUCUCUUUUUUUGACAUUAGCAAGUAAUUAUUAUAUCAAUAAAAUGCAAAAGAUUUGAUGAAGAAUAUAUUGUAAGCAAGUAGAAUAUAUCAGUGCUAGAGAAAAUAAAUAUUUUGUGCUAUAGUGUGUUGGCACGCAAGUAUUUUUGUCAACAGCACACAUCGAUAUGGCACGGAUGCUGUGUUGUACUGUGUCAGCAAGUGCUGGACACAUUCCCAUGCCACAACACUUAAAUCCUUGGUUAGUACUACUAUCGCUUGUGUACUUUGUUACAUUAUUGAGAGUUCUUGUUAACGGCCUUGUGCUGAUUGAUAGUCCUAGGUAAUUGUCUUGUUAUUGUGAUUUUAAUCUAUUGUUUUUCUCUCUAAUCCUCAUACUCUCUUACAUGAUGCAACUGAGGUGCAAAUUGGACUAAUUUGUCUUAUUUAAUUCUUUUGGGUUGGGUUUAAUGGAUGAAAUUAAGGGGCUGUUUGUCGCACGUAGUUGCAACUGCUCUAUAGUUGCAAUUGCAUGUUGGCUCAAAUCUUGUGUUUGAGUUUGUGUAGUUGAGUCCAAUUGUUGUAGUUGAACUGCACAAAGAGGCCUACAUGCUGCAGUUGGAACUACAUCCAAAUUAGUUGUUGUCCCAACUACAAUAGUUGGUGAGGGAUCAAUUCACCCACUAAUUAAGAAUUUAAUAAUUAAUAAUAGUUAUAUUACUUAACAAAUUUAUUGUAUAUAGAUUUCCAUAUAUAUUAUAUAUAUAUAUAUAUAUAUAUUAUAUAUAUUAUAGUUAUAUUAUAUACUAAUAUACUAAUAAAGCGAGGUGGAACACAUUUGUGUCACGUCCAGCUCCAUCGCAAUUGGUCGAUCCGGGCCGUACACAGACGAACGAACAGCACCUCUCUGAUUCGCCAAGGUCACUAAAAAAAGGAUACAGUGAUAAAAGAAUUUAAAUAAUUCCCAGGGAUUACAUUUCAUUACAUGGCUUGCACGAACGGCCAAGCAAUCAAAUGAUAGGUAAACUUACUGUAAAUGAAAUUCACUGUAAAUUUACAAACUUUACAUAUGACAAUUGUAACUGAAACAUUAGUUAUAUACAUCUUUCUUAUACAUUCUUUACGUGUUAUGUACAUCAAAUGGUAUGAUACAAUGAUCAAAUUGGUAAUUGCUAAUCUGGUGUCAGUGCUAAGCUGCAGGGCCUUGACGACUCGCCUCCAAAACCGCACUGGAAUGUAAUUUAUGUAGUGAGAACUACAAGAAGUUCCAGUGGGUUCGAGCUGCGCGACUUCGCGAUGGAUACCACGUAGGUCCUUAUUCAGGGUAUGUAGGCAAGAAAGUAAGUCAAUAGUAACAAUAUAAAAUGUAAUAUACAAUUGCUGUUUACAGGAUGAAAGAAGUAAAGAUAUGAAACUGUAAUAUCAUGCAUGCUUUUCAUUACUUUACCCAAUAUUUGGUUUCUCUCUUGUUAAGCUGGACAAGUACAUGUGUAUAGUCUUGGGGCAAUCUUUAAGCAAAUUACCAUUUCUGUGGUUAACCUUUGUAACAAUAACUCACAAAGAAAUCUCACGGCCCUAAGCUUGUCUCGAUUGGACCGUCUGUCGGACAAGUAGUUGUCUGGGCAAGUACGUUGCCUGAUAAAUUACCCAAUUCAGUGAGUAACAUUUGGUUAAAAUAAAUCCCAAGAAAUACCCUACGGCUGUAAGUGGUGUCUGUGAUGGGAUGUGUUUCUAGUAGUUAGUCUGGGGCAAGUAUGUUGACCAAACAUGAUUCGGAGUCAUCAACUUGCCUGGGUGGGAUUUGCACCACCAAGCUAGAAACGCUAUUGUGGUAUAUUGAUGCCGCUUGUAGGAAUUUCAACGACAACAAUGUUCACUAUUGUAACUAGUUUUAUACUGUUAUAUUACAUUUUCAUGUACAAAAUCUCUGUCAUUAUAGUUGUGAUGUCUUGGGCCAGCAUCAUUAGGGUUCUAUGCCACAAUCUUAUUUUCACAAAUUUCAUUUGUUGAUUAGGAAUUCACCAUUUUACUCGCUCAAUGAAAACCUAUAUGAUGAUACAAAUAUAAAAAUAUGUCACGAAGAAUUAUUAGAAUAAAGGUAUUCAAGAGUUCGGAUAGCACACCACCUGUAGGUGUGUCAAUCAACUAGAAUCCAAGUUCGAAGCGUCGACGAAUAUCUCUCGCGCUUCGUGCAAUAGAUUAGACCGGGUCUCUACCGUAAUUAGUGUCGUUUCGGACCUUUGUAUAAAUUAUCUUACUCAUAAUUGACAUUAAGAUUUCAUGCUAUAAAGCUGUGUAAAACUUUUUUGCGAUAUCGUUGCGAGGUUCGUGGAUUUGCCGAUAUCGACGUUGCCAGCGUUUCUUUUCCCUCAAUUUGUUUACCGCGUCAUUUCGUGUGUGUAUGUUUUGAAAAGUGCAUGCUCAUUAUUCCCGUUUUAUGCAAUUUUACAAUUGUUAGGUAUUUCAUAUUUAUUUUUCUUUCUCAUUUUCCUCCUUUUCUCUCUAUUUUCUUUCUUUCUUUUUCUUCUUUCUUUCUUCUUUUUCUUUUCCUUUCUUUUUUUUUUUGCUCCUGCAGCUGUAAGUAUCUGUGAUGAAGCUCUGCUUGCUGCUCAUGCAUUGUGUUGAUGUUGCUGCUGGUACUCCUGCGCAAGAUGCUGUGAAAGCAGGUUGCUGUGAAGCAAGCUGCUGCUGACUGUGUGAAAGCAGCAUGCUUGGUGCUGCUGAGAUGCACUGGUGCGCUGCUAGCUGGCAGUGUGCUGCCUGAUUGCUGCAGUGCUGUGCUGCUGCUUGACUGCUGGUGCUUGGCGCAGGCUGCUGCUUAUGCUGCUGCUGCUGCUGACUGCUGUGCUGCGCUGGCUGGUUGCGCAGCUGCUGCUCGCAGAUUGUGCUGCUGCUGUGACUUUCCUGUGCCUGAUCCGAGCUGCUGUGUGGGUAGGCUGUGUGUACUUCUUGUUGAGUGCUGGCUGUUACUAAUAAACGCAGCGGGGCGAGGGGAAGGGAAGGAAUAUAUCUCACUUUUUUUUUUCUUUUUUUUUCUUUUAUCUUACUUCUUUUUCUUUUUUUUUCUUUCUCUGUCUCCUUUCUCUUGCUUUCCCUACUCUUCAUACGUAUGGAGGGAAGAGGCUGUAAGAGGGAUAAGUAUAGGAGCUCUGGCAGGGUGUUAGUGAAUUCCAACUAACUCUAUGUAAAAUUACAAUUUUGCCUCAUGCUUUAUAGUUAUAGGUCACACGGUAGUUAGAUACCUUUCGUAAGCCCUAUCCGAAAGUCGAUUGAGCUCCAUUGGAGGAUGUUCGUUUUUAUUAAGUUCCACUGAAUUUUAAUAUUCAGUUUCGACAUCCAUCACGGGCGCCCGUUUGGUACUGUCGAACUGUCACACGACUGUAAUCUUUAUUAAGUAUAUCAGAUGCUUAUUUUCUCUCUACAGGAGUGUCAGAAAAUUAAACUUAAAUAUAGCGUCUAAUAAAGUUCUGACUAUUUGACCAUUUUCAUAUUAUCUGACACUUGUGCAGUUUCUGUAUUUACUCUAGAGUCAGUUCUUACAGAAAAUUCUAAUUUUUCGUUCGCUCGUUUCACAAAUUUCCAAAUACACAAGGGACUUCAGUACCAAUUUAAUUGUGGAAGCAUUCCUUUUUUGAUAUUAUUUGGAGGCGAUUAGAAAUUAGAAUCUGCUCAAUUUCACUGGCCUUUUGCACUACAUCGCACUGAGCUCUUCAAAACCUUGUGAACAACCCUUGCAUUUACCAAAACUUCCCAAUUUGAUUCGAACCAACGAUUACCUUAGCUUACUUUAAUUCUUUUAAUCAAAGUUAGUCGCGAAAAUUUCGAAAAUUCUUCGUUCGUAUUUUUACAAUUUGUUUUCGCAGCCCACAAUUGAUGCGCCCGACGGCACUUAUUUAUUCCGAAAUUCAUUCCAACGGAUAAGAAUACUCGAGGAUGAUGUCCAACUAGCUAUUCCUCACUUUGUCCCGAAGAUAAAAAGUUGAAUCGCAUAAAUUUCAUUGUAAAUUUUUGUGUGUAAAUAUUUUUUAAUAGUUUUGUUUAAAUAUAAAAAUAAUUUGUUUGUAAAUAUUGAUAGACAUUUGGUUGGGUAUGUUAAUUAGUAAGAUUAAUUGAAUUAUGAUUAUUUAAUUUAACAAAAGAAAGUUGGAUGAGAACUUUUUUAAUUGUUUAUCUAUUUGUUAAUAGAUUGAAUAAUUUUAAUUGUAUAUUUUGUAUGUUUAACAUUAUUGCAAAAUAUAAAAUUAUAUAUAUAUUAUUUCGUAUUAUAAUAUAUGAUAUAUAGUGUUAUACUUAUAUUUAACCUCACUUCUCGUAUCUGAAGAGGUGAAGGACUUAAAAAUAAGUCUUCGCAUAAGAAGUACAAAAGAGGAGAUUGUUGCAUAGUUUGUACAGACUUAUAGCAAAUCUUCUAGUCAAGGAUGCAGCACUUAUUUCUCUUGCAAGUGUGCAGUUUGCUCGUCUCUUGCUAGCUCCGACUAUCUUGUAUGAUAUAAAGACGGAGUUUGGGAGGAACGAGAUUUUUAAUUUAUUUUUAUUGAACAUGAGGAAAUAUAAGCUGAUUCUCUUGAUGAGAUGAGAGGGCCAAAGUAAUAUAUGGUGAAUUGUCAACCUAGAGAGCAAAUAAAAAGGUGCCAAGUGGCGAAAAGCUACAAGUCAAAAUGGGAGGCUACGAUCUCCCAACAGCCUACGUUUACUACAUCUUCUAGAAACCCUAAGGUAUCGUUUGGUUCAAGGAUAAGCAAAAAGUGGCUAUUCCAGGGAUAGGUAUAAAUUGAGGUAUAAGCGGGGAUUAGAUCAAUUUUACGUUUGGAUGAAAAUUGGGUUAUUUUUGAAAAUAAAAAAAUAGCGUUUGGUUAGGUAAGAUGGAAUAAGAAGGAUAGUGAGUUUUAUAAAUGAAAAAUAAUGAUAUCAUCCUCUUAUUAUAUUUGAAUUUGAAUUUUUAAAAUUUUAAAUUUAUAUUUUUAAAUUUAAAAUUUUAACUUUGAAAUUUUAAAAUCUCAAAUUUUAAAUUCAAAAUUUUAACUUUAAAAUUCAAACUUUAAAUUUAAGAUCAAAUUUAAAUUUGAAAAAUAUAAAAUAUAAAAUUUUAAAUUUCAAAAAUUUAAAAUAUCAAAAUUUAAAAUUUAAAAUUUAAAAUUAUAAACUUUAAUUUUGAGAUUAUAAAUUAUAAAUUAUAAAUUUUAAAAAUUUAAAUUUUUAAUUUUUAAAAUUUUA